UAUAAGAAUCCACAAACAAAAAGUGUAAGGCAAACCAACCAAAUUACCAAAGUUACAAACUCCCUUAAGAGAAGAAAACAAAAAUAAAAAUAAAAUUAAAAAAAAACACAUGUUUUUGUUCACUAAACAAUUAAAGAAAAAAUAAAUGCUUCUUAACCACAUUGGCGCCGGAUUCUGUUGGGUGGACCCGCCACGACCCGACCCGAAUCCCAGAACCCGAAUAGGCCCCUCGCGUUUUCAUCGACGGGGGGCCUCGACGCCGCGUCCGGCGAGGCAUGCGGCGUUCCACGGAGUGCGAAUGGAGAAGAAAGGCGGCAAGCGGCGGUCGAUAUGCACCGCCGACGAGCUUCACCGCGUGGCAGUUUCGAACUCCAAUUGGAAGCUCGCUCUGUGGCGCUACCGUCCUUCUCCUGAGGCCCUGUCGAGGAAUCACCCGCUUUUGUUGUUGUCAGGGGUUGCUACCAAUGCAAUAGGCUAUGAUCUUUCUCCUGAGUCUUCAUUUGCUCGGUACAUGUCAGCCCAAGGUUUCGAUACAUGGAUUCUUGAGGUUCGAGGUGCUGGGUUGAGCACACUUGGAGAUAGCUUGGAGGAAGAUGAGGAAUGCCUCAAGAAUUUUUCUAAGAUUGAUUCUGUUAUUAAUGAUGAUAUUGGUGAAAGCAGUGCUUCUUUUGUAUCAGAAGUUCCUCAUAUGAAAACGAGAGGAUCAGAGGUAGUAACUAAAUAUGAGGAAAUGCAGCUAAUGACGAGGUUCAUGGAGAUUCUUACAAGGAUAUCUGAAAGGCUUGCAGGAUUUCUCAAUGGAGAUUUGUUGGAAGGACAGAACUCUGCAAUUGCUGGACAAAUCAAGGAUUUCAAUCGGAGGCUUCGAGCUAUUAUUGAAGGUCAGCUGUUGUUCCCAGCAAAAAUUUUAGAAUUGCAAGACCGUUUUGCUGCCAAUCUAGAAGAGUUCCAGAAACAGCUUGAGCUGAUGGUCAAGUAUGAUUGGGACUUUGACCAUUAUUUGGAAGAGGACGUACCUGCUGCUAUGGAGUACAUAAGGGCUCAAUGCCAACCAAGAGAUGGAAAAUUGCUGGCAAUUGGUCACUCAAUGGGGGGUAUCUUGUUGUAUGCAAUGCUUUCAAGUUGUUUUAUGUCAGGUUUUGAUGGAAAGGAUCCUGGGUUGGCAUCUGUUGUUACUUUGGCAUCAUCACUAGACUAUACCCCUUCAAGAUCAUCUCUCAAGUUGCUUUUACCCCUGGCAGAACCUACUCGAGUUUUGAACAUUCCUGUUAUUCCAGUUGGGCCAUUGAUGGCUACUGUUCAUCCCCUUGCUAGCUAUCCUCCAUAUGUUUUAUCUUGGCUAAAUUCUCAGAUUUCAGCUCAAGAUAUGAUGGACCAAAAACUAUUUGAGAAACUUGUUUUGAACAACUUCGGUACCGUACCUUCCAAGCUUCUCUUGCAGUUAUCAUCCGUUUUCCAAAAAGGUGGCUUACGAGACAGGAGUGGAACAUUCUUCUACAAGGACCAUCUCCACAAAAGUAAUGUUCCUGUCCUAGCGAUUGCUGGUGACCGAGACUUAAUCUGCCCUCCUGAAGCUGUAUAUGUUGAUAGGUUCCAUUCCCAAACUAGUGAGACUCACAUGAAACUCAACCAAUACGAAAGAUCAUGUUGGAAAAAGAGUGUUAUAAAAAACGGUGAAGCUUAUUCCUGACGAAUUGGUUACAUACAAAGUCUUUGGGGAGCCUGGUGGUCCACACUAUGCCCACUAUGACUUAGUGGGUGGUCGUCUGGCAGCAGAUCAACUUUAUCCAUGUAUCACUGAAUUUCUCAUUCAUCAUGACACGGUUUAGUCCAUUGCUCUUUUUCCAAUGCCUCAUUCUUUUGUACAUAUAGAACACUAGAUCAAAAUCCUCAGAGAGGAAACCCCUACACCCUACAAGAUCCUGCCACUAUUUAUUCUAUGCAUGAUCUGCAGUAAUACUUAAAUUCCUGUAUAUAGUCAAAGACAAUAUGUACACGUGUAGUCUUAAAUAUUGUAAACAAGGUGACAGUACAACUUCUGGAAGGGUUGGACUAUAUCAUUCUGAUUUUACCAGGUUCCAGGAAAGCAGGUAAUAGGAAUCAGGUGGUAUUUUUAAUCAAAUUAACAAGAAUUUACAAAGUGGAAGUGAAGUUGC